UUGCACGCUGGCGGCAGGCCUAACACAUGCCCGUCGCACGGUAACAGGAAGAAGCUUGCUUCUUUGCUGACGAGUGGCGGACGGGUGAGUAAUGUCUGGGAAACUGCCUGAUGGAGGGGGAUAACUACUGGAAACGGUAGCUAAUACCGCAUAACGUCGCAAGACCAAAGAGGGGGACCUUCGGGCCUCUUGCCAUCGGAUGUGCCCAGAUGGGAUUAGCUAGUAGGUGGGGUAACGGCUCACCUAGGCGACGAUCCCUAGCUGGUCUGAGAGGAUGACCAGCCACACUGGAACUGAGACACGGUCCAGACUCCUACGGGAGGCAGCAGUGGGGAAUAUUGCACAAUGGGCGCAAGCCUGAUGCAGCCAUGCCGCGUGUAUGAAGAAGGCCUUCGGGUUGUAAAGUACUUUCAGCGGGGAGGAAGGGAGUAAAGUUAAUACCUUUGCUCAUUGACGUUACCCGCAGAAGAAGCACCGGCUAACUCCGUG
rnacentral:rRNA from 1 species